rnacentral:rRNA from 1 species
ACGAACGCUGGCGGCGUGCCUAAAACAUGCAAGUCGAACGAGCCCUUCGGGGCUAGUGGCGAACGGCGGAGUAAUACAUGAGUAACGUGCCUCUAAGACCGGGACAAACGCAGAAAUGUUAUAAAUACCGGAUGUGAUCGAGACCUGGCAUCAGGAUUCGAUUAAACGGAUUUUCGCUUAGAGAGCGGCUCAUGACACAUCAGGUAGUUGGUGGGGUAAUGGCCUACCAAGCCGACGACGUGUAGGGGGUCUGAGAGGAUGAUCCCCCCGAGUGGGACUGAGACACGGCCCACACACCUACGGGUGGCAGCAGUUGGGAAUCUUGCACAAUGGGGGAAACCCUGAUGCAGCGACGCCGCGUGGACGAUGAAGGCCUUAGGGUUGUAAAGUCCUUUUGCACGGAAAGACUUAGGACGGUACCGUGCGAAUAAGCUCCGGCUAACUACGU